rnacentral:lncRNA from 1 species
GGUUCCGGCCGUACUCACGGCGCCGCGCGGUGACUCCCCAGGCGCAGCCCAGCCUCGAAAUGCAGAACGACGCCGGCGAGUUCGUGGACCUGUACGUGCCGCGGAAAUGGGUGAGUCAGAUGAUUCCAUUCUCCGAUUGGCCAAGGCCGAUGGCAUCGUCUCAAAGUAAGGUUGGGGGCUCACAUUUGGGCAGAGUGAGUGGACUAGGACUGCUCCAGAGGCGUGGUCUUAACGUUGUCCUUUUCCCCUGGUUCUAGGAACUUUUGACUGGAGAGAAUCACAGAUGUGGAAUAUUUGUCAUAAAUAAAUAAUGAAAACCU